GAUGAACGCUGGCGGCGUGCCUAAUACAUGCCAGUCGAGCGGACAGACCCGGAGCUUGUUGCUUGGUCGAUAGCCGCGCACGUGAGUGUAACACGUGUAUACUGUACCUGUCAUACUGAGAUAACUUGGGGAAUCCGGCUCAUAUACCGUAUAAUCUACUGAACCACAUGGGGCGAUGGUAAAAGUCGGCUGUGCGGGCUGGUCUAGCUGCUUAUGCGCUUGUUGGUCGGGUAGUGGAUUACCAGGGUUAUGACGGGUAGCCGGCCUGAGAGGGUGACCGGCCACAUUGGGACUGAGAGACGGCGCAGACGCCUACGGGAGGCAGCAGUGGGGAAUAUUGCACAAUGGGCGGAAGCCUGAUGCAGCAACGCCGCGUGCGGGAUGACGGCCUUCGGGUUGUAAACCGCUUUCGCCUGUGACGAAGCGUGAGUGACGGUAAUGGGUAAAGAAGCACCGGCUAACUACGUG
rnacentral:rRNA from 1 species